rnacentral:rRNA from 1 species
GCAUAUCAAUAAGCGGAGGAAAAGAAACCAACAGGGAUUGCCCUAGUAACGGCGAGUGAAGCGGCAACAGCUCAAAUUUGAAAUCUGGCUCUCUUUGGGGGUCCGAGUUGUAAUUUGCAGAGGAUGCUUUGGCAUUGGCGGCGGUCUAAGUUCCUUGGAACAGGACAUCACAGAGGGUGAGAAUCCCGUACGUGGUCGCCUGCCUUUGCCGUGUAAAGCUCCUUCGACGAGUCGAGUUGUUUGGGAAUGCAGCUCUAAAUGGGAGGUAAAUUUCUUCUAAAGCUAAAUACUGGCCAGAGACCGAUAGCGCACAAGUAGAGUGAUCGAAAGAUGAAAAGUACUUUGGAAAGAGAGUCAAAAAGCACGUGAAAUUGUUGAAAGGGAAGCGCUUGCAGCCAGACUUGCCCGCAGUUGCUCACCUAGGCUUUGGCCUGGGGCACUCUUCUGCGGGCAGGCCAGCAUCAGUUUGGGCGGUUGGAUAAAGGCCUCUGUCACGUAUCUCCCUUCGGGGUGACCUUAUAGGGGAGGCGCAAUGCAACCAGCCCGGACUGAGGUCCGCGCAUCUGCUAGGAUGCUGGCGUAAUGGCUGUAAGCGGCCCGUCUUGAAACACGGACCAAGGAGUCUAACAUCUAUGCGAGUGUUUGGGUGUCAAGCCCGAGCGCGCAAUGAAAGUGAACGGAGGUGGGAACCCUUUGGGUGCACCAUCGACCGAUCCUGAUGUCUUCGGAUGGAUUUGAGUAAGAGCAUAGCUGUUGGGACCCGAAAGAUGGUGAACUAUGCUUGAAUAGGGUGAAGCCAGAGGAAACUCUGGUGGAGGCUCGCAGCGGUUCUGACGUGCAAAUCGAUCGUCAAAUUUGGGCAUAGGGGCGAAAGACUAA